GGGUUAAAAAUUAAUAAAUAAAAUUUAAUAAAAUUAAUUUUAAUGUUAAAAAUAUUUGAAUGGGGGUUAAAGUAUUUUUAAUAGAAAAAAUUAAAAAUUUUAUAGUUUAAUAGUAUUGUGAAAGAAAUUUGAAAUAAAAAUGAAAAAAAAAUUAUAUAAAAGUAAAUUUAAAUUAUUGUAUCUUGUGUAUCAGAGUUUAUUAAUAAUUUUUUUUAUUUUUUAAAUUUCUCGAAUUUAAAAGAGUUAAUUAAUUAAAAAAUUUAUUGUUUCAUAAAUAUUUUAAAUAAUUAAUUAGAAAUGAAAUGUUAUUCGUUUUUAAAUAUAUCUAGUUUUUUUAGAAAAAAAUUUAAUUUUUUAUUAAAUUUAAAAAUUAAUUAAUUUUAUUAAUUAAUUUUAAAAAUUUAAUUUAAUAUUUUAGGGGAUAAGCUUUAAAUUAAAUUUUUAUAAUUAAUUUAAAAUAAAUUGAAAUUUUUAUGAUUUAUAUUGUUAAUAAAUUUUAUUUUAUUAUAAAUAAUUUCAUUAAAUUUAAAAUUUAAAUUAAAAUUUAAUUUUUUAUAAAAAAAUAAUUUUUAAUAAAAUAAAUUUAGUUAUAAUGAUAAAAUUAGUAUAUAAAUUUAUUUAUGAAAUAAUAAAUAAGUUAAAAUUUAUUUUAUGGGUAAUUAUUUCAAAGGAAUUCGACAAACAUUUUUUAUAUUAAUAAUAUUAUUAUAUUCACCUGUUUAUCAAAAACAUGUCUUUUUGAAAAUAAUUUAAAGUCUAAUCUGCCCACUGAUAAAAAUUAAAGGGCUGCAGUAUAUUGACUGUACAAAGGUAGCAUAAUCAUUAGUCUCUUAAUUGGUGACUUGUAUGAAGGAUUGGAUGAAAUAUAAAUUGUCUCUGUUAUAUUUAAUAGAAUUUAAUUUUUUAAUUAAAAAGUUAAAAUAAUUUAAAAAGACGAGAAGACCCUAUAGAGUUUUAUAAUUUAUUUUAUUUAAAUUAUAAAUUUAGGGAAUAAUUUAAAUAAAAAGAAUUAUUUUGUUGGGGUGAUAAAAAAAUUUAUAAAACUUUUUUUUUAUAAUUUACAUAAAUAAGUGAAAUAUGUGAUCCAAUAAUAUUGAUUAUAAGAAUAAAUUACCUUAGGGAUAACAGCGUAAUUUUUUUUUUUAGUUCAAAUAAGAAAAAGAGUUUGCGACCUCGAUGUUGGAUUAAGAUAAAAUUUAAAUGCAAAAGUUUAAAAUUUUUGAUCUGUUCGAUCAUUAAAAUCUUACAUGAUCUGAGUUCAAACCGGUGUAAGCCAGGUUGGUUUCUAUCUUUUAAAAUUUUUAUUAUUUUAGUACGAAAGGAUCAAAUAUUAUAAUUAAAUUAAUUUUUUUUUGAAUAUUAUUAAAAUUUUAUUAAAUUUGUAAACUAUUUUGGCAGAAAAAUGU
rnacentral:rRNA from 1 species